CCUGGCAGCCAUAGCGAUACGGUACCACCUGACUCCAUUCCGAACUCAGAAGUGAAACGUAUUAGCGCCGAUGGUAGUGUGGGGUUUCCCCAU
rnacentral:rRNA from 1 species